UCAAGAAAGACAAGGGAGCAAGAUGCUCUUGAUGAGACGAUGGGUAAGUCAUGAACUCCCACCCUUAGGGGUUGAGGCAGACGUGGAAAGGCCACUAGGGCGGUGAGGGUGAGUACAUCUGUGACUAGGCAUGAGGAAGAACAGUCCUUAGGUGAUGCAGAUAGACACCCAACUGGGGGUAUUACCAUCGAGGACUUGGCUGCAGGUCUACAGGGAGUUAAUGUGUAAUACCCUGCACCUUCG
rnacentral:lncRNA from 1 species